UUAAUUGAAGAGUUUGAUCAUGGCUCAGAUUGAACGCUGGCGGCAGGCCUAACACAUGCAAGUCGAGCGGUAACAGGGGAAGCUUGCUUCUCGCUGACGAGCGGCGGACGGGUGAGUAAUGUAUGGGGAUCUGCCCGAUAGAGGGGGAUAACCACUGGAAACGGUGGCUAAUACCGCAUAAUCUCUUAGGAGCAAAGCAGGGGAACUUCGGUCCUUGCGCUAU
rnacentral:rRNA from 1 species